AUGAAGAACGUAGCGAAAUGCGAUAAGUAAUGUGAAUUGCAGAAUUCAGUGAAUCAUCGAAUCUUUGAACGCACAUUGCGCCCGCCAGUAUUCUGGCGGGCAUGCCUGUUCGAGCGUCAUUUCAACCAUCAAGCCCCCGGCUUGUGUUGGGGACCUGCGGCUGCCGCAGGCCCUGAAAACCAGUGGCGGGCUCGCUAGUCACUCCGAGCGUAGUAAUACAUCUCGCUCAGGGCGUGCUGCGGGUUCCGGCCGUUAAAAGCCUUAUUUUACCCAAGGUUGACCUCGGAUCAGGUAGGAAGACCCGCUGAACUUAAGCAUAUCAAUAAGCGGAGGA
rnacentral:misc_RNA from 1 species